UUAACACAAUGCAAUUUGGCUAAGAUCAAAUGUUAUAUCUGUUCUUAUCAGUUUAGUAUCUGAUACGUCCCCUACCUGGGAGCCAAAUAUGAAAUUGAUUUUUGGGACAGGGAGAUGAACAGGGGCUUGCCCAUUCCACUCACGCAUCAACCUGGUAUUGCAGUGUCUCCAGGAAUGGUGCAGUUUCC